UAAUAGCCCGGAUAGAAAUGGAAAUCCUUUUUUUAAAUGACGGAGGAAUUUGAAAAAAGAUUGUAAUGGAUAGCCGGAAUAAUU
rnacentral:sRNA from 1 species